rnacentral:lncRNA from 1 species
UGCAGGAGGUAUAGUGAAUAAUACAUUGAGGCCAGCGAUACCUGAGUCAUGUGAUCCAGAAUGGAGAAGAGUGAUGGAACAAUGUUGGGCACCAGAUCCCAUCCACCGGCCCUCGUUCACUGAGAUAGCGAGGCAGUUAAGGAAGAUGUCAGUGACUAAUCAAAACAAAGGCCAUGGUGGCGGCCUGAAGUGAUGGUCCCUUCUUUAUUAUAUGCUUAGUGUUCAUUUUCCAUUUUCUCCUUGACAGUUAUUGUGGUUAAAAUAGAUAGGUUUAUGAAUUAGAAUUCUAUACUAUAACUUUAUAAACGAUAUGCAUUGCACAGAAAUAAUUUAUGCUUAAGUUAUUGACAUUUUGUUUACAAAUCCGUGUGUUUAUAGUUCAGCCUAUUGAAGUUCCUCCAAAUCAUGGAGCUCAGAUGGAUUCCUUUACCCCUAAUCAGAAUAUUUAUGGUAGUUCUAAUAUAGUUAACCCCAAUAUUUCGAAGCCCAAUUCUAAACAACUCAUUGAACCAUUACCCAAUGUCAAAAUUCUAUUGCCCAAUGAAUCUAAUUGUGAACUAUUUGAAACAAACCAUCAAUCAAUAAGUGAUGCGGUUGACGCAACACAUCAGACCUUGAUACACCUCAUCCUGGGAAUGGGGUGGGUCGCCAUGGUACCGCUCUGGUAGUAACUGGGAUCGAGACAGAUAUUUUGUUCCGUCGCUCCGGUCAUAUUCCGAGGCGGGUCUUGAGGCAAGGCGAAACCCGACUUCUCAUAAAGAAAUGCAUGAGAAAUGCGUUUUGAAAAGAUCUCGUGAGUUUUG